GUGUUCCCUUUGGCAGCAUAUACACUGAAAUUGGAACAAUACAGAAAUUAGCAUGGCCUCUUUGCAAGAAUGACAUGCACAUUCAUGAAGCGCUCCAUAUUUUA